CGUACAUCGCCGACGCUGCUCGCCCUCCUCGACGCCGCCGGACGUUGCUCGCCCUCGACGCCGUCGUCAGACGCCACCGCCGGACGCCGCUAACCCUCGACACCGCUGGACGCCAGUCGCCCUGCGCUCACCUCGCCCUUGCCUCCCUCGACACCGUCACCCCUCGCUCGUCUCGCUGCUCAGCCGCAGCCAGACGCUGGUCGUCCCGCCGCUGGACUCCGGUCGUCCCCAAAGGCGCUCGCCCAGUCGUCCCCGAAGCCGCUUGCCCAGCUGCCCUCGACGCCGCUCACCCAAUCACCCCCGACGCCCCUCGCCGAGCCUCCACCGAAGCCCCAGCUGCCCUCGACGCCACUCGCUGAGCGAUGGUUCUUUGUUAGCGGACGAGAAGCGCGCUACCUGCGAAACCGAGGGAUCUCGACGUGGAAUGUAUAGAUGCCGAAGCGAUGGUUCUUUGUUAGCGGGGGCUUUUCUUAGGUUGAGUUUGAUGUCUGGAUAUGUGGGUUGGGGGGGAUGAUUGAUGAAGAAUUCUGAGUAACUCAUUCGAGGGAUGUGCACCUGGUUUAGUCAAGUUGAAGCGGAGGGAUGAUUAUGCUAUCAGGAUUGUGCUUGUUUAAUUGAGAUUUCGUAUUUUUAUUGUGUUCAUCGUGUUUGCUUUUGUGGAUUUGAUGUUGGAGACGUGAUUCUGUAAUAGGAUUAAUCACGUCGAAUUGUUUCUUCGAGUCGAGUUGCUUCAUGUUCUUAAAUGUCGGUUCCAAGUUGAAUUAGUUUGUUGAUACAAAACGGAGCUGCAUUUCUCUUGGCAGUGAAAGGUUUUGAUGUGAUUGUCGUUGGAAUUCACAGGGCCGGCUGAUGGUAAUAGAUUGCCUGCAGCCUCUUAUUUGAUAAUUUCGAGUUUACAGUAUUCUUCCGAAGCAAGUGCCGAAAAGGAGGAACCCACAGAGACCGUGAAGGAGUUGUAUGACAAAAAUUCUUGAGUCUGUUAACACGAAAAGAACAAUGGCUCCAAACGCAUGGGCGUGGUCGAUGAUUGAAAAUUGCAAGAACAGAGAGGAUAUUAAGCUUCUCUUUAAUAUCUUGCAGAACCUACCCAGAUUUGGAUUGUCAAAUUUUCGACCUUUGUUGAGAAGUCACAAAAGCAUGUGUGCGUGCAAGGGCUCUUGACUUUGGUGAGCUUUAUCUACACAAGUUGUGUGCCAAGUUCAAAAAUUCUAUAUCAUGCUGAUAUAUUUACCUGAUUCUUCUUCUGCAUUCAAUUGUUGCUACCUACGCUAUCAUUGCUUGUUCUCAAAUGAUCUUUUUACCUCAAGCCUGUCAUGCUUGGAGAACAUAUUCAGAACAUAUUCAGUUGCUUAUGAGAACUUUUGACCA